AGAUUCCUACGGGAGGCAGCAGUAGGGAAUCUUGCGCAAUGGACGAAAGUCUGACGCAGCCAUGCCGCGUGAAUGAUGAAGGUCUUAGGAUUGUAAAGUUCUUUAGCCUGUGACGAUGAUGACGGUAACAGGAGAAUAAGCCCCGGCUAACUUCGUGCCAGCAGCCGCGGUAAUA
rnacentral:rRNA from 1 species